rnacentral:tRNA from 2 species
AACGAUAUAGCUCAGGUGGUAGAGCGUUGGCACACGCCAAAGGUCGGUGGUUCGAGUCCGCCUAUCGUUCCUA